AAUCACGGUGGCGCUGACGGAGCAGCCGAAAGGCUGGCCGUUUUCUAUGUGGGCGGUAUUCCUACCUCCGUCAGCGCUACCCCCCGA
rnacentral:antisense_RNA from 1 species